GUGCCUCUGAAGGGUGUUCAUUAGGGGAAUGCCGAAGCGUGGGAAAAAGGGAUCGGUGGCCGAAGAAGGGGACGAGCUCAAGAUGGAGCCAGAGGCCAAGAAGAGUAAGACGGCGGCAAAGAAAAAUGACAAAGAGGCAGCAGGAGAGGGCCCAGCACUGUAUGAGGACCUCCCAGAUCAGAAUACCUCACCCAGUGGCAAACCUGCCAUACUCAAGAUCUGCUCUUGGAAUGUGGAUGGGCUUCGAGCCUGGAUUAAGAAGAAAGGAUCCGAUUGGGUAAAGAAAAGCCCCAGAUAUACUGUGCCUUCAAGAGAACAAAUGUUCAGAGAACAAACUACCAGCUGAACUUCAAGAGCUGCCUGGAAUCCCUCAUCAAUACUGGUCAGCUCCCUCGGAUAAGGAAGGGUACAGUGGCAUGGGCCCACUUUCCCGCCAGUGCCCACUCAAAGUUUCUUAUGGCAUAGGUGAGGAGAAGCAUGAUCAGGAAUGCCGGAUGAUUGUGGCUGAAUUUGACCCAUUUGUGCUGGUAACAGUUUAUGUACCUAACGCAGACCGGGAUCUGGUACGACUGGAGUACUGGCAGUGCUGGGAUGAAGUCUUUCACAAGUUCCUGAAGGGCUUGGCUUCCCGAAAUCCCCUUGUGCUGUGUGGAGACCUCAAUGUAGUGCAUGAAGAAAUUGACCUUCACAACCCCAAGGGAAACAAAAAGAAUGCUGGCUUCAUGCCACAAGAGCACCAAGGCUUUCAGGAAUUACUGCAGGCUGUGCCAUUGGCUGACAGCUUUAAGCACCUCUACCCCAGCACAGCCUAUGCCUACACCUUUUGGACUUAUAUGAUGAAUGCUCGAUCCAAGAAUGUUGGUUGGCGUCUUGAUUAUUUUUUGUUGUCCCACUCUUUGUUACCUGCAUUGUGUGACAGCAAGAUCGAUUCCAAGGCUCUUGGCAGUGAUCACUGUCCUAUCACCCUCUACCUAGCACUGUGACACCACCCCUAAAUCACUUGGAGCCUGGGAAAUAAGCCCCCUAAACUACCAUUCCUUCUUUAAACACUCUUCAGAGAAAUCUGCAUUGUAUUUCUCAUCUAUAAAAAUAGGAAUCCUCCAGCCAGGCUCCUGUAACAAGCUUAGAUUUCUUUUAAGCUCAAGAUUUUUUUGAGCAUUUCUUAAAAAAAAAAAAAAAUUGAACAAAGGCUACUAGUAAUUUUGUUUGAAUUAUCCACAUGAAAAUAAAAAGCUAUAGUU